CCUACGGGAGGCAGCAGUGGGGGAUAUUGGACAAUGGGGGGAACCCUGAUCCAGCGACGCCGCGUGAGUGAAGAAGUAUUUCGGUAUGUAAAGCUCUGUCAGCAGGGAAGAAAGAAAUGACGGUACCUGACCAAGAAGCCCCGGCUAACUACGUGCCAGCAGCCGCGGGAAUACGUAGGGGGCAAGCGUUAUCCGGAAUUACUGGGUGUAAAGGGAGCGUAGACGGUUAAGUAAGUCUGGAGUGAAAGGCCGGGGCCCAACCCCGGGACUGCUCUGGAGACUAUUGAACUUGAGUGCAGGAGAGGUAAGCGGAAUUCCUAGUGUAGCGGUGAAAUGCGUAGAUAUUAGGAGGAACACCAGUGGCGAAGGCGGCUUACUGGACUGUAACUGACGUUGAGGCUCAAAAGCGUGGGGAGCAAACAGGAUUAGAUACCCUUGUAGUC
rnacentral:rRNA from 1 species